GAGCUCGGUUAGGGCCUCACUUCCCUGCUUCCACACCUCAGGGAGGCCUCGGUGAUUUUGCCAGAGCCUCAGCCUCCAUCGCUCUGUAACCUGCGGGUAUUGGAUGAUUCGUAGCUAAGACUUCGCGACACCCUUGAAGCUGAGAAAUGGAACCCUUAACAUUCAGGGAUGUGGCCAUAGAAUUCUCUCCAGAAGAGUGGAAAUGCCUGGACCCUGCCCAGCAGAAUUUGUAUAGAGAUGUGAUGUUGGAGAACUACAGAAACCUGGUCUCCCUAGGUGUCUGGAAAUGAAGUAUGGAAAUGAAAUCAUGAAUAAAGACCCAGUUUUCAGAAUCUCUCCACGAAGUAGAGGAACUCAUACCAAUCCAGAAGAGCCUGAAGAAGAUGUUCAAGCUGAAAGAGUCCAAGCAGCAAAUGCACUCACUACUCCAAACUUGGAGGAGGAACCAGUCAUAACUGCAAGCUGUUUACACAAGGAAUAUUAUGAGACAAAGAAAGUUGCUUUUCAACAACAAAGAAGAAAGCAGCCAUCAGAAAUGUUUCGUUUUGUGUUAAAAAGUGAAGUUUUGGGAUUACUAGGACACAAUGGAGCUGGCAAAAGUACUUCCAUUAAAAUGAUAACUGGGUGCACAGUGCCAACUGCAGGAGUGGUGGUGUUACAAGGCAACAGAGCAUCAGUAAGGCAACAGCGUGACAACAGCCUCAAGUUCUUGGGUACUGCCCUCAGGAGAACUCACUGUGUCCCAAACUUACAAUGAAAGAGCAUUUGGAGUUGUAUGCAGCCGUGAAAGGACUGGGCAAAGAUGCUGCUCUUAGUAUUUCAUGAUUGGUGGAAGCUCUCAAGCUCCAGGAGCAACUUAAGGCUCCCGUGAAAACUCUAUCAGAGGGAAUAAAGAGAAAGCUAUGCUUCGUGCUGAGCAUACUGGGGAACCCAUCAGUGGUGCUUCUAGACGAGCUGUUCACCGGGAUGGACCCUGAGGGGCAGCAGCAAAUGUGGCAGAUACUUCAGGCUACCAUUAAAAACCAGGAGAGGGGCGCCCUCUUGACCACCCAUUACAUGUCAGAGGCUAAGUCUCUGUGUGACCGUGUGGCCAUCAUGGUGUCAGGAACGCUAAGGUGUAUUGGUUCCAUUCAACAGCUGAAAAGUUUGGUAAAGAUUAUUUACUAGAAAUAAAAAUGAAAGAACCUACUCAGGUGGAAGCUCUCCACACAGAGAUUUUGAAGCUUUUCCCACAGGCUGCUUGGCAGGAAAGAUAUUCCUCUUUAAUGGCAUGUAAGUUACCUGUGGAGGAUGUCCACCCUCUGUCUCAGGCCUUUUUCAAAUUAAAGGCAGUGAAACAGACCUUCAACCUGGAGGAAUACAGCCUCUCUCAGGCUACCUUGGAGCAGGUGUUCUUAGAACUCUGUAAAGAGCAGGCGCUGGGAAAUGUUGAUGAUAAAAUUGAUAUAACAGUUCGAUGGAAACUUCUCCCACGGGAAGAUUCUUAAAACGAAGAACCUCCUAACAUUCAAUUUUAAGUCCUACUGCAUUAUUAGUUUCCAUAAUUCUACAAGAAUGUUUCCUUUUACUUCAGUUAACAAAAGAAAAUAUUCAAUAGUUUAAACAUGCAACAAUGAUUAAAGUUUUCAUUUUUAAAAAUUUUAGGAUGAAGGAAACAAGGAAAUAUAGGGAAAAGUAGCAGACAAAAUUAACAAACUCAGACAUGUUAUUCAUCCCCAACAUGGGUCUAUUUUGUGCUUAAAAAUAAUUUUAAAAUCAUAAAAUAUUAGGUUUGUUUUUGGUUAUUAUCAAUAAAGUUAACACUGAGCACAUUUU
ensembl:lncRNA ABCA11P ATP binding cassette subfamily A member 11, pseudogene